AUGAACGCUAGCUACAGGCUUAACACAUGCAAGUCGAGGGGCAGCAUGGUCUUAGCUUGCUAAGGCCGAUGGCGACCGGCGCACGGGUGAGUAACGCGUAUCCAACCUGCCUUACACUCUUGGACAGCCUUCUGAAAGGGAGAUUAAUACAAGAUGUUAUCAUGAGUAAGCAUUUUCGCAUGAUUAAAGGUUUACCGGUGUAAGAUGGGGAUGCGUUCCAUUAGAUAGUAGGCGGGGUAACGGCCCACCUAGUCUUCGAUGGAUAGGGGUUCUGAGAGGAAGGUCCCCCACAUUGGAACUGAGACACGGUCCAAACUCCUACGGGAGGCAGCAGUGAGGAAUAUUGGUCAAUGGACGAGAGUCUGAACCAGCCAAGUAGCGUGAAGGAUGAAGGUUCUAUGGAUUGUAAACUUCUUUUAUACGGGAAUAAACGAAUCCACGCGUGGAUUUUUGCAUGUACCGUAUGAAUAAGGAUCGGCUAACUCCGUGCCAGCAGCCGCGGUAAUACGGAGGAUCCGAGCGUUAUCCGGAUUUAUUGGGUUUAAAGGGAGCGUAGAUGGGUUGUUAAGUCAGUUGUGAAAGUUUGCGGCUCAACCGUAAAAUUGCAAUUGAUACUGGCAGUCUUGAGUACAGUUGAGGUAGGCGGAAUUCGUGGUGUAGCGGUGAAAUGCUUAGAUAUCACGAAGAACUCCGAUUGCGAAGGCAGCUUACUAACCUGUAACUGACAUUGAUGCUCGAAAGUGUGGGUAUCAAACAGGAUUAGAUACCCUGGUAGUCCACACGGUAAACGAUGAAUACUCGCUGUAGGCGAUAUACAGUCUGCGGCCAAGCGAAAGCAUUAAGUAUUCCACCUGGGGAGUACGCCGGCAACGGUGAAACUCAAAGGAAUUGACGGGGGCCCGCACAAGCGGAGGAACAUGUGGUUUAAUUCGAUGAUACGCGAGGAACCUUACCCGGGCUUAAAUUGCAACCGAAUAUGGCGGAAACGCUAUAGCUAGCAAUAGCGGUUGUGAAGGUGCUGCAUGGUUGUCGUCAGCUCGUGCCGUGAGGUGUCGGCUUAAGUGCCAUAACGAGCGCAACCCUUGCCGAUAGUUACUAACAGGUUAUGCUGAGGACUCUGUCGGGACUGCCAUCGUAAGAUGUGAGGAAGGUGGGGAUGACGUCAAAUCAGCACGGCCCUUACGUCCGGGGCUACACACGUGUUACAAUGGGGGGUACAGAGGGCUGCUACCACGCAAGUGGAUGCCAAUCCCAAAAACCUCUCUCAGUUCGGAUUGAAGUCUGCAACCCGACUUCAUGAAGCUGGAUUCGCUAGUAAUCGCGCAUCAGCCACGGCGCGGUGAAUACGUUCCCGGGCCUUGUACACACCGCCCGUCAAGCCAUGGGAGCCGGGGGUACCUGAAGUGCGUAACCGCAAGGAGCGCCCUAGGGUAAAACUGGUGACUGGGGCU
rnacentral:rRNA from 1 species